rnacentral:lncRNA from 1 species
GAAGAAAGCCUUUGAUAUAUCUUGAUCCAUUGAUAAUUAGUAGAGAAGCAUCAUGUAAAGAUAGAUAACUUUUUAUAGUGUGCUUACUGCGUGCCAGGUGCCCUUGUAGGGACUUUGCAUAAAUUAAAUCCUUUAAUCCUCAAAAUGGUGGUAUGAAGUUAAGCCUUAUCUUUAUCCUUCUUUCAUAAUGAGGACAUCAAGGCAUGGAAGCAUGGAGAUACCCAAAUUACAUAGCAAGUACGUGGUAGUAUUGGAAUGUGAACCCAUGUUGCCUUUAAUCAUAACCACGCUGCCUAUUUUAAUAGGUAAGGUGAAGAGAAUUAUGAGUAAUUCCAGGAGUUCUGAAAAAGUAAGAAGCAUACCAAGACUCAUACCAAAGAAAGAUUGUGACCAGCUGUGUCGGAAUACAUGUGUAGAAAUUGAGGGUUGAAAGAAGAUAGAUUCACCACAUUACCCAGAGUGCUCUUCUUUGAAAACUUCCUCUGGAUAGACAAAGUAAAGUGAAUAUAUAUAAAGAAUUUUUGUUAAAUAUUAAACAUUUGCUAGGCUGUUAAUUAUCCACAUCAAUUCCCACUGUUAAUAAAGUGUACCAGAUAAUUUUACA